rnacentral:lncRNA from 1 species
CGCGCUCUUGGAGAGAUGUUGGCCGUCUCUGGCUGCGUGGGAGCCACUCGAGGCUUCUACCCUCACCUGCUGUUAGCACUGGUCACACAGCUGCAUGAGCUGGCUCAAGGUGCUCAUUCCCCCGACAGCCCUAAGGUUUGGGAGCCUUCCCACCGAGGGCCACCUCACAGCCACGCCAGGUGAGAGAAGGUACCCUGGGAUACGUGAGUGGUGGGACAGGCCUCCCUUGCCCUCACUGCCCACUGCACAACUGUUCGCACCUCCAGCUGCACAGUGGAGGCCUUAAAGGCCCUGCUCACAGGGGAUGGUGGCCGAAUGGUGGUCACAUGUAUGGAGCAAGCAGGAGGCUGGAGGAGACUGGUAGGAGCCCACACACACCUGGAGGGUGUCCUGCUGCUGGCCAGGUGAGGAGGCAACCCAGGACAGUACAACAGGAGAAGGCUCCCUGCUAGCCAGGUGCGAUGGUGGCAUGGGGGAGGAGGUGGGGAUGAGCCCUUCCAAGCGGAAGAAGAACUCCCCUUUCCCCUACUUCAGUGCCAUGGUGGCACAUGCUGAUCACCAUCUCCGAGGCCUUUUUGCGGACUUGCUCCCUCGGCUACGAAGUGCCAACAACCCGCAACGCCUCACCGCUAUGGCCUUCUUUACUGGGCUGUUACAGAGUCAGUCUACUGCACGUCUCUUACGUGAGGAAGUCAUCCUGGAGCGCCUUCGAACUUGGCAGGGUGACCCAGAGCCCACCGUGCGCUGGCUAGGCCUACUUGCCCUUGGCAACCUUGCAAUGAAUCGUGGGAAGGUGCCGACCUGGAAGAUGCCGGGAGAGGUGGACGCUAGGUAGAGUCUGGAAAGGUCCAGCCACAAGUCCUGUCUUUACAGAUAAGGCAUGUGAACAUGUUGCUGCCAGUACUCCUAAGAGCACUGGGCGAAGGUGAUGUGCGGCUCGUGGGCGCUGCACUUGGCGCACUGCGGAGACUACUGCUGCAGCCCGGAGCACCCGUGAGACUCCU